rnacentral:rRNA from 1 species
AUAAAUGACUCUCGGCAACGGAUAUCUCGGCUCACGCAUCGAUGAAGAACGUAGCAAAAUGCGAUACUUGGUGUGAAUUGCAGAAUCCCGUGAACCAUCGAGUUUUUGAACGCAAGUUGCGCCCAAAGCCAUCCGGUUGAGGGCACACCUGCCUGGGCGUC